rnacentral:lncRNA from 1 species
UUCCCUGUGGUUCAGUCACCAGUCACACCACCUGUAAGUGGAGGUAUCUACGGUACACCAACACCCUCCCAUGGAAGCGGUGGUUACUACAAUUCACCUCCAACUCCAAGCAGCGGUGGCUCGCCGGCCAUCAUCCCCUCUCCGCCCUCCCCCAUGGUUGAGUCACCGGUCACACCACCGGGAAGUACUGGAGGUGGCUACGGUACACCAACACCCUCACAUGGAAGCGGUGGUUCCUACAACUCACCUCCAACUCCAAGCAGCGGUGGCUCGCCGGCCAUCAUCCCCUCCGCGCCCUCCCCUGUAGUUGAGUCACCGAUCACACCACCUGGAAGUGGAGGUGGCUGCGGUGCACCAACACCCUCACAUNNNNNNNNNNNNNNNNNNNNGAGUCACCGAUCACACCACCUGGAAGUGGAGGUGGCUGCGGUGCACCAACACCCUCACAUGGAAGCGGUGGUUACUAUAAUUCACCUCCAACUCCAAGCAAUGAUUGCUAUAAUUCACCUCCAUCCUCCCCUACGAUCGAGCCGCCUGUCACCCCGACUCCAACCAUUCCGGACAUCACACCGCCGUCGCCCUUGAUCCCGG